GUUAUAGCAACCCGAGGUGCCGGAGAGUAAUACAUGCUCGGCGCGUUGCAACAGACUCUGACAAGUUCAAGGCUGUUGCCUUGCUGCUAAAUCUUGUUGCCAAGGCAAUGCAACAUAAGGCAAGAGCCUGGAGAAAUGAAUACUGCUGACAGCUUGUGCCAGCAGGCUUGGUCUGAUUAAAAGGGAACUUUUGAAAGUAAUGUUAACUUAAACAGCACAGCAGCAGCAGAAGGGAAAGGGGAGCGCGGAGAUGGAGGAGAGGAUCCAGAGGAGGAGCAGUGGGUUAAUGUCAAGCAACAGUAUGCUCUGAGUUAAAGGAAGAGUACCACCCCAAGGACCAUAGAGUCAAAAUAGACGAUCAAUGCUGAAGAAGUCAGCACCGGUACCACUGAGCUGAGCUUCAGAGGACACCGUAACGGAGCCGUUUCCCUGAGAGCUGCCCCCCAGCAGCAGCAGCCGGCCCUGGCCCCUGCGACCGGAGCGCUCGAUCCAAGUAAGGGUAUCAGUCCGAUGCUCAGAAAUUCCCGGCUGACUCACGACCCCUGCGUGCUGGUCUCUUUACACCUCUCAUGUUGGAAAAGGAAGUGAAACAGCUGGUUCUCGUGUAUACCUUCAACAGCUUUGAAAAGCCCCGCUAUUGUAGAAAAAUGGAGCAGAGCUGUGAGGUCUGGAGCUGGUUUCCUACCCGAAAGGCAGGCAGGAUGCUGGAUCCGUAGCUGCAGUUUGGUUUGACAACGGACCAACUCCAACACCGGUGCUCUCAUCUGCUUUAAUGUCAGCUGAUCAUUUGUGUGCCACUUUCCUAUCUGGCACCAUUCAAGUCUGUACCAAAGA